rnacentral:SRP_RNA from 1 species
AUUGGGUGUUACAGGGCCUGGGAAGCACCGGCCCGUAAUCCUUCCACCGCAGAGAGCGGGAGGUAUUCGCUGCUCUGUGAAACCAGCCUCACGCAUUGCCCUCCGCUCUAGGAGCCACAAGGCCCAAGCUUUCGAAUGGGUCGCAUGGCCCAACUCUCCGCUUGGAACGGGCAGGCCAGCAGUCGCAACCACAGGCCCAACCUUCUGAGCUUGGCCCAUGUCCAAUCACUUUGGUGCCCCCGCUUGGGUCACAGGCUUGCGUUACC